rnacentral:rRNA from 1 species
UGGCAGACGGUGAGUACACGUGGAACGUACCCUUCGGUUCGGAACAACUCUGGGAAACUGGAGCUAAUACCGGAUACGCCCUUGGCCUUUGGCCCUGGGGAAAGGUUUACUGCCGAAGGAUCGGCCCGCGUCUGAUUAGCUUGUUGGUGAGGUAACGGCUCACCAUGGCUACGAUCAGUAGCUGGUCUGAGAGGAUGAUCAGCCACAUCGGGACUGAGACACGGCCCAA